GGCUUCUUGUCUAUGAAAGCAAAGCAUUUCUCUCCUGACUUGCCUGCUAAAUAGGGUGUGUCAGAAAAGGCUUUUUUUGUAGCAUAAGAUAAAUGCUCUUGCAUGAGGUGUUGACGGUCAGUUGUUUUACCAGUUCAAAGGGAGAAAACCAAACCAGGCUGACGGUGACGCUCCUUUCAGCGAGGCUUGGUAUAUAUUUGAGCAAGUAUUUCAUCAGGGCUUUUUGUGUUAAUGCUGCUUUUGGUUGUGUUUGUUUUUCUGUGCAUUUGACUCGCUGUCAGUGUUUCUCAUACAGUAGGAGUGUUCCUCCUAGUGAGUGUUUUCCACUCAAAGCAAGCAAUUGUGGUACAAAGCAAGAAUCAUCUCAACAAGUGGUUCGGGUUUUCUGUUGCACUUGGCUUUGGGGUUUUUCUUUCUUUCUUUUUGUUACCCAGCAACACUAUUUAACUUUGCUACUGUGAGUUUCAAAGUUUUCUCGAAAAACUUGGCAUGAAUUUCCCCUUUCUGCCCCAUUGGUAGGCACCGUUUCUCUUAGAAAAGCUUCUACCCUCUACCUUCACUACCCUGUUUUGAAGCAGUGCUCCAGUUUAGCCUGCAGCGCUGGCUCUUGCAUCCUUUUCCGUUCAGCUCCUGCGUCCGGUGAAAACUGAGCGUACACACGUGAGGAGAAACGGCUGCUUUUCUCCAGGCAAGGACGUGACUCGCAGAACGUGAAGAAACAAAAUGUCCUGACCCCCCUGGAGUGGUUUGGGUCUCAGGAGGGACCUGGGAGCCUCCUUUUGUGUCCUGGGUGCGGCCGUGGCUGGAAAAGGGGUAAAGGAUGGAGCAGGGGGGAGAGGAGCAGUGAUUGGGAGCGAUGGUUCCUUGGGGAUUUGCAUCUGGAAACAGCCAUCCUUUUCCCCAUGGGAGUCCUGGAAAGAGCACUGAGCAAUGAGGAUACUGCAGCUGGAGCGCUGGCAAUGGAGCGUCUGCAGGGAAUAUUGCCUGGGACAGCGUCUUAGCCCAGGUGUCGGGAGCUGUGUGCACAUUCCUCCCUGGAGCAGGGAACCCCCGUGAGGAGGAGCCAGAGAUGGGGGCAUCGAACCAGAAUGGCGUGUCAGCUACAGAAUGAGAUCUGUGAACACGUGCGCAGUUGCCUGUGCAAGCUGUCUGACGUUGUGUCUGUGCUGGAUCUGCUGCUUUCAUUUGCCCACGCCUGCGCCCUUUCUGAUUGUGAAUUUACCGAUACUUUAGCGAUCAAGCAGGGGUGGCAUCCCAUUCUUGAAAAGACAGCUCUGGCAAAACCUGUGGCUAGCAACACAUCCCUGACAGAGGUCAACGGUCUUGUCAUUGUUACAGGACCAAAGGUGAGUGGAAAAUCGACAUGCCUGAAACAGAUUGCUCUCUGCCAAAUGAAGGCACAGAUUGGUGAGUAAGAGUGUACAACAUCAAUCCUCUUCUGCAGCACAUUUUUUUUCCUGGUUAA